UCAGCAGCCGCGGUAAGACGGGGGGGGCAAGCGUUGUCCGGAAUUACUGGGCGUAAAGCGCACGUAGGCGGUCAGCUACGGCGGUGGUGAAAGCUCCCGGCUCAACUGGGAGAGGCCCGCCGCAACGGGUUGACUCGAGGGUGGUAGAGGUUGGUGGAAUUCCUGGUGUAGCGGUGAAAUGCGUAGAGAUCAGGAGGAACACCCGUGGCGAAGGCGGCCAACUGGGCCACGCCUGACGCUGAGGUGCGACAGCCAGGGGAGUGAACGGGAUUAGAUACCCCGGUAAUCCUGGCCGUAAACGAUGCAGACUAGGUGUCCGCGGUCUCGACCCCGCGGGUGCCGGAGCUAACGCGUGAAGUCUGCCGCCUGGGGAGUACGGCCGCAAGGUUGAAACUCAAAGGAAUUGACGGGGGCCCGCACA
rnacentral:rRNA from 1 species